rnacentral:misc_RNA from 1 species
AGCCGUCAAGAGAGAUUCAUAAUUGAUAACCAAGAUCCAAGAAGACAUGAAUAUGAUGAUGCUCGAAGUUGCUGCGCUCGUUGGAAUGUUCUGGUAAUUUCAGAUAAAUCUGCUCCUACCGUGCAUCUGGAGCUUGGUUCUAUCAUAACACAAAGUGAAUCGUCUUUAAGUGGACUGUAGCCUGUAGAUUAAUUUCAAAGGAAAAAAAAAAAGGAUUGUAACGUGCUAUACCCCGGCUGUUUUGCCCAAACAUCAUUAGUAUUGAGCAAGGAUCUUGGCAUUCUAAUGCUUUUCGAGGCUCGUUUCAGAGUCCUGUCAACUUGGAUUUGAUUGAAGUAGCUAAUUUUUUAGGGUGAUAAAGUUUUUAGUGUAAUUUGUAAAUUUAUUAAAUUUAUUUAAAAAUCGGAAG